ACUCUGCUGAAACGAAGGCUGGUCCCAAGACUUCCAAAAAGCUAACCAGAAACAAAACAGAAAUUCAAACAGUUUCCCCAAAAGUCAAAUAUCUAGCUAUUAUUGAUUACCUGAGAAGAGUAUGAAAACCAUGUUGUAUGGGGACCAGCUGAGACAAGAGGAGAUAUUUAUCCCAGGAAGACUUUGGAAGCAACAUAAUAACCUAUUUCAGGUAUUGAAAGUUAUCAUAUGGAAGAGAAAUUCAAUUUGUUCCACUUGACCUCAGAGAAUAGAAUUAGGAACAAGAGAAUGAACUUGAGUUAAACCUGGAAUGGUCCCUGAAGGUCAGUCCUGAAGACCACUACUUGGUGCUGAAAUAUCUGAAAAACUUUCUGCAAUCCCUUCAUUUAAAGAAAACCUAAAAGAACAAUCACAGAUGCAAUGGCUCAAGGUCCUUUUUUAUAUGGCCAUGUGAUCUCAGGGAAUAUAUCCAAGGAUUCUUUCUUGACACCACUAUUUUUCACCAGUCAGCAAAGAAGUCAAACUGUCAGUAUUCACCUAAAGACAAAAUGGUCAAGGAACCAAUACUGAAGUUUAUUCAGGCCUUUUUGAAGGCAUCUUCUUCUUAAUCCUAUGGUUAGCAGAUGGGAACCAGAUAUCUCCACAUGUUCCAUAUUCUCAUCAUGACUCAACAUAUAGAGGGGAGUGGUCACCAGGGUGUAUGCUUUGGUCUGGGAAGUCAUAAAAAAUUGAGGCAGCCAAUUUCACUUCUGGACAGCCCUUUGGGGGAGAGUUUUUCUUAGUCAAAAUCUGCUCCUAUACUCCUGAUUAUUAGUUUUGAGAUCAUGGGAAAUACAUAGAAUUCUUCUUCUCAGUCUAGCCCUUUUACUCUACUGGUAUUACUAAUGGCCUAUUGGAAUAAUCUUGGG